rnacentral:tRNA from 1 species
GGAGGGAUGGCAGAGCGGUCGAUUGCGGCGGUCUUGAAAACCGUUGNNGCUCCGGGGGUUCGAAUCCCUCUUCCUCCGCUA